rnacentral:rRNA from 1 species
AUUGAACGCUGGCGGCAGGCCUAACACAUGCAAGUCGAACGAGUGGCGGACGGGUGAGUAAUGUCUGGGAAACUGCCUGAUGGAUGGGGAUAACUACUGGAAACGGUAGCUAAUACCUCAUUCCCGCGGAUGUGCCCAGAUGGGAUUAGCUAGGAGGGGGGGCAACGGCUAACCUAGGCGACGAUCCCUACCUGGUCUGAGAGGAUGACCAUCCACACUGGAACUGAGACACGGUCCAGACUCAUAAGUGAGGCAGCAGUGGGGAGUAUUGCACAAUGGGCGGAAGCCUGAUGCAGCCAUGCCGCGUGUAUGAAGAAGGCCUUCGGGUUGUAAAGUACUUUCAGCGGGGAGGCGUUACCCGCAGAAGACGCACCGGCUAACUCCGUGCCAGCAGCCGCGGUAAUAC